rnacentral:lncRNA from 1 species
UUUUGACAAAUUGACAAAGAAGAGUGUAAUCGAGGUUAGGAGAUGAAGGAAGAGGAGGAAGCGGAGCCAUUAGAAGCUAAAAUAUAAGGAAGAGUGAAGAGAAGAUAAGGAGAAGAAAGGAAAAAUCUCAAGUAGGGGUAAAAAAGAAAAAAAGCGGAAGGAAGAAGGAAGAGAUGAAGUGCUAGAGCCAAAAAAGAGAGAAGAUACGGAGAGAGAGAGCCGUCGGAUGGAAUUUCAAAAAAUUGGUUUUAAUGGCGAAGAGAC